ensembl:lncRNA
UGUCAUUAAAGUAUAGCCUACUUGUUGGAUGGAUUUGAUGUGAAUUGGUGUCUAACUGUAGGCUAGUUGUCUAGUGAUAUUGUCAACCAUCAUCAGCUGAUCCAGGAAACUGUCACGAGAAUUUUCUAUCCCAAUGAUAGUAACUGACAACCAAUAUCUCUGACCAGUCCCAGAGGUUUGUUACACCAUGGGUAUAAUAAUAAUUAGUCUAAUACUCAGCUUAUAUAAAAGGUUAGUACAGAUUAUUCAGAGAACGUUCUAAAGUCAAGAAUACAAAGACAUCCAUUUUAUAGCUGUGCACAUACUUCCACACAAACACUAAAUACAGUGGGGCAAAAAAGUAUUUAGUCAGCCACCAAUUGUGCAAGUUCUCCCACUUAAAAAGAUGAGAGAGGCCUGUAAUUUUGAUCAUAGGUACACUUCAACUAUGACAGACAAAAUUAGGAAAAAAAUCCAGAAAAUCACAUUGUAGGAUUUUUAAUGAAUUUAUUUGCAAAUUAUGGUGGAAAAUAAGUAUUUGGUCAAUAACAAAAGUUUAUCUCAAUACUUUGUUAUGCACUACAAUGUGAUUUUCUGGAUUUCUUUUUCUCAUUUUGUCUUACAAACUUCUUCCAUUUUCUAAUAAUUGCGCCAACAGUUGUUGCCUUCUCACCAAGCUGCUUGCCUAUUGUCCUGUAGCCCAUCCCAGCCUUGUGCAGGUCUACAAUUUUAUCCCUGAUGUCCUUACACAGCUCUCUGGUCUUGGCUAUUGUGGAGAGGAUGGAGUCUGUUUGAUUGAGUGUGUGGACAGGUGUCUUUUAUACAGGUAACGAGUUCAAACAGGUGCAGUUAAUACAGGUAAUGAGUGGAGAACAGGGGGGCUUCUUAAAGAAAAACGAACAGGUCUGUGAGAGCCGGAUUCUUACUGGUUGCUUGGAUGAUCAAAUACUUAUGUCAUGCAAUAAAAUGCAAAUUAAUUACUUAAAAAUCAUACAAUGUGAUUUUCUGGAUUUUGGUUUUAGAUUCCGUCUCUCACAGUUGAAGUGUACCUAUGAUUAAAAAAAUUACAGACCUCUACAUGCUUUGUUAGUAGGGAAACCUGCAAAAUCGUCUGUGUAUCAAAUACUUGUUCUCCCCACUGUAUAAACCAGCGCGCACCUGAAAAACAAAGCAAUGAGUACUUUAAACAGCUGACUGACAAAAGCAAACUAUGAUAAAUCAACGGAUAAAUCUAAUGCAUUGGAAUAAAGGCUAUUUUUAACAAGGACACAUGGCAAACAAAUUGUGAAAAUUAGGAAAUACAAAGGAAAAUCUAUGCGCAAAGGAGCUCAUUUUAGGCCAAAAUUCAGCACUAGUGGAAGAACUUUGCUCUAAAUACGAAGGAUUAAGAUAAAAAUAGAGGUAUUGUUGUUGAUGAUGAUGAUGAUAUCUUUGAUCUGGUUUCCUGUAGGCUGAAGAAGAUCGCGACCCAUGCGAAUGUGUUGGUGGAGACGAUGCAAUCUAUGGUAACAUUUGAACACAACAGGAAGCAUGUGGGAGUCAGCUGGCUCAGAGGCCAUUGUACUUAGUCUGUCAAAAGCUCCAGUAAAAUAUUGACAUUUUAACCCAAUGUAGCACAGCAGCCGACUGCUUAUUUGUUAGCUUUAUUGUUCUUAUGGCUAAAGAAUAUAGUACGAUUGUAAAGUAAAGUACCUUGAACAUUUUCUCCAGAUCAGAUUGAAUAUGAACAUGUGUAAAUGUUCAACAACAACAGUGAUCAAAUGAAAAAUAUCUGUGUUUCAUUGCAUUUUAAUAUAGUCUGUAAUGUUUGUUUCUGAAUAUCCCAAUCUACUAGCGAGUUAUUUUUCAUCCUUUAUGUUCUUGCUGACCCACAUUGAUCUAAUGUGUGGGAAAAACAAACAUCUAUUGUUAUCAUAAAUCAACUUCAAGUACUCAAAGAAUGUAAAUGUCAAGCAGAAGUAAUUGUUAGUCACCAAUGAGCUGCUGUCUCCACUUGUCUUCCUCUUCUCAGGGGUCUUCACUGGUUAUCACAGCCACAAAGUCAUAAACCCCACCUAUAUCUACAAAUUAUCUCAUUCAAAUCUGCUUUUAAACCCAACUCUAACCUUAAAUUAAAAACAAAACACAUUUUUGUUUUCAUAGAUUAUAAGGAUAUAGUCCGUUGACGUUGUGGCUGUGUUAUCUAGUUGAAACUCUUCACAGGUCGUCGUGGCCUCUGUAAAUCAACACAUCUCCUCCUGUUGGUUCAUAGAAGGUAUUACAUCAUAUGUUUAUGUGAAAUGGAUUGAGGAUUGAUGAGCAAGAGAAGUAGAGGACUAAAAUGUGAACAAACGUAAUUAAUGCACCACCAGUUCUGUCUGGUCUGCUCUAGAUUCACAUCAAAGAUUAUCAUGACAAUUUUGUUGUAGAUUUGGAUCACAAUAAAUGGUGUUGCAGUAAAAGCCCAUCUAGAGAAUCUAUCCCAAAGUGAUCCCCUAUAAAGUUAUAUGGGGUCAGGGUCAGUCAACAUGUUUUUCUACUUGCACGAACAUGCGCACACACACGCACACAGAAAUCAGAACCAUGGACAGCCACAUCAUAUUCUUCCCCCGUGAUUUUACCCACACCUGACAGCAAUGUCUUUAGGUCAGGACUUACUAUACACUUGUCUUUACUCUCUUUAAAUAAAUACAUUUUGCAGUAUUAAAAUUAUAUUUUACACACUGUCAA